AUUAGAUUCAGAAGUUCUUCACCAUCCAAAACUUCGAUUGCCUCUCCCGAUGGAUCCUUUUGCGUCAUUAACCAUUGCAAAAUUUGUUCUUCGUCGUAGAGAUCUCCUUCGAUGACACACAAGUAAUAUAAGAUUAACAGCGAAUAUCACCGGUUCUUUCGAUGUCAGCUUGAAAAAGAGGAUUCCUGGUAAUGCAAAUACUCCGUAAUGUUUGGCAAGUUCCUUGUCGUCGAUCUUUACAAAUUUGAUUCCGGCAUUAUCAGCUUCAUCGUCGAUGUGCUCGAUCUCUGCCAGAACUCUACUACAUUGUUUACAGUCGGUGCUGUCUAAACACACAAAUAUAGUGAUCAAAUUGGAUCGGUUAACCAAUCAAGAAUCUCUUCCUCGUCGUCUAUAUCACCAUCGUAAUUCGUACUUUUACCUUUCCGGAAAUAUGUUAUACCAGGUGGGUUACGAUAACCAUAUUUUUUCGCCAUUAAACGAUCCUUCAUACGAACUAUUUUGAUUCCAUACUCAGCAGCUUCGUCGUCGAUCAACUCGACGUGCCUGAGUACUCGUGGAGUUUCUGGAUCUUCUUCUUUGUCUGUGAAUAAUACAUUCGAAAAGAAUGGCAGAGGAAAUACAUAUCUAUUUAUUGUUUUAACAAAUAUUCACAAAGAUCCUCCAAUGGUUGUAUAUAAUGGAACAAAGUGAAGGAAAUGAAAUAAUAUUGCACCGACUAUCUUUCUCGACUCUGCAUUUAAUGACCAAGCGAAAUGAAGCACACCAAGCUUACCGUCGUACAUGAUUGGAACACCGGUCUCGUAGUAAAUCAAUGCUGGAAAGGAGAAGACACCGAUUUCGGCUGCCAAUUUAGCAUCGUUCGAUUUAACGAACUGUAUCCCGUGCUUAUCUGUAUCAUCGUCAAUCGUUUCUAAUUCCUCCAAUAUUUCUGCACAGGUAUCGCAAUCGUCAUCGU